rnacentral:rRNA from 1 species
AUACGUAGGUGGCAAGCGUUGUCCGGAAUUACUGGGUGUAAAGGGUGCGUAGGCGGAUCUGCAAGUCAGGCGUGAAAACUAUCGGCUCAACCGGUAGCCUGCGUUUGAAACUGUGGAUCUUGAGUGGCGAAGAGGUAAGCGGAAUUCCUAGUGUAGCGGUGAAAUGCGUAGAUAUUAGGAGGAACACCAGUGGCGAAGGCGGCUUACUGGGCGCUAACUGACGCUGAGGCACGAAAGCAUGGGGAGCAAACAGGAUUAGAUACCCUGGUAGUCCAUGCCGUAAACGAUGAUUACUAGGUGUAGGGGGUAUCGACCCCCCCUGUGCCGGAGUUAACACAAUAAGUAAUCCACCUGGGGAGUACGGCCGCAAGGUUGAA